GACAGAGGUGGCAAGCGUUGUUCGGAUUUACUGGGCGUAAAGGGUGCGUAGGCGGUCAGGUCAGACCUGUGUGAAAGCCCGAGGCUCAACCUCGGAACGUCGCGGGUGACUGCCUGGCUAGAGGACGGGAGAGGAGCGCGGAAUUCCCGGUGUAGCGGUGAAAUGCGUAGAGAUCGGGAGGAAGGCCGGUGGCGAAGGCGGCGUUCUGGAACGUUCCUGACGCUGAGGCACGAAAGCGUGGGGAGCAAACAGG
rnacentral:misc_RNA from 1 species